GGGAGGGGUGCAAGCGUUAAUCGGAAUUACUGGGCGUAAAGCGCACGCAGGCGGUUUGUUAAGUCAGAUGUGAAAUCCCCGGGCUCAACCUGGGAACUGCAUCUGAUACUGGCAAGCUUGAGUCUCGUAGAGGGGGGUAGAAUUCCAGGUGUAGCGGUGAAAUGGGUAGAGAUCUGGAGGAAUACCGGUGGCGAAGGCGGCCCCCUGGACGAAGACUGACGCUCAGGUGCGAAAGCGUGGGGAGCAAACAGGAUUAGAUACCCUGGUAGUCCACGCCGUAAACGAUGUCGACUUGGAGGUUGUGCCCUUGAGGCGUGGCUUCCGGAGCUAACGCGUUAAGUCGACCGCCUGGGGAGUACGGCCGCAAAGGUUA
rnacentral:rRNA from 1 species